rnacentral:ncRNA from 2 species
GUAUAUUUGCACCGCAAAGGUUCUCCGGCCGCACUCCGCAUAGCAGGAGCCGCGAAUGGGGAUGAAAAGGGAAUGCAGUGAGAAUCUGCGACAAUGCCCGUUGCUGUGUGUUCCGGCCCUGCGGGGCGAAAAAGUUUUACCAUCUGUUGCCACUGGCCCCACGGGCCGGGAAGGCGUAAAACGGGAACGAGUCAGAAGACCUGCCGAUGCGUACCAUAAGAU